rnacentral:antisense_RNA from 1 species
AUAACUAAAUCUAAGACAGGUGCUGUGCGCGAAAAUGAAGUGGAUUAAAAUUUUAAAACAACUUAAGCAGGAAGUAAAAAGAAGUGAUUUAAACUUAAAAAUAGCUUAAGUGGUGGUCCCGAUUGGACUCGAACCAACGACUUCCACCA